UACAUGCAAGUCGAACGCACAGCGAAAGGUGCUUGCACCUUCAAGUGAGUGGCGAACGGGUGAGUAACACGUGGACAACCUGCCUCAAGGCUGGGGAUAACAUUUGGAAACAGAUGCUAAUACCGAAUAAAACUUAGUGUCGCAUGACACAAAGUUAAAAGGCGCUUCGGCGUCACCUAGAGAUGGAUCCGCGGUGCAUUAGUUAGUUGGUGGGGUAAAGGCCUACCAAGACAAUGAUGCAUAGCCGAGUUGAGAGACUGAUCGGCCACAUUGGGACUGAGACACGGCCCAAACUCCUACGGGAGGCUGCAGUAGGGAAUCUUCCACAAUGGGCGAAAGCCUGAUGGAGCAACGCCGCGUGUGUGAUGAAGGCUUUCGGGUCGUAAGCACUGUUGUAUGGGAAGAACAGCUAGAAUAGGAAAUGAUUUUAGUUUGACGGUACCAUACCAGAAAGGGACGGCUAAAUACGUG
rnacentral:rRNA from 1 species